ACGCUCGACACCUACGGGGGGCAGCAGUCGGGAAUAUUGCGCAAUGGAGGAAACUCUGACGCAGUGACGCCGCGUGCAGGAAGAAGGUUUUCGGAUUGUAAACUGCUUUAGACAGGGAAGAAAGAAAUGACAGUACCUGUAGAAUAAGCUCCGGCUAACUACGUGCCAGCAGCCGCGGUAAUCUGAGCGGGCUGGCAAGGC
rnacentral:rRNA from 1 species